AGAGUUUGAUCAUGGCUCAGGACGAACGCUGGCGGCAGGCUUAACACAUGCAAGUCGCACGAGAACGCUCUGGCUUUGCCAGGGCAAGUACAGUGGCGGACGGGUGCGUAACGCGUAGACAACCUGCCCAAAAGCGCGGGACAAUCGCGGGAAACCGUGGCUAAUACCGCACGUCGUCUGGACCCCGCAUGGGGACCAGAUGAAAGCCUUCGGGCGCUUUUGGAUGGGUCUGCGUUGGAUUAGCUUCGUUGGUGAGGUAACGGCUCACCAAGGCAACAAUCCAUAGCUGGUCUGAGAGGACGAUCAGUCACACUGGGACUGAGACACGGCCCAGACUCCUACGGGAGGCAGCAGUGGGGAAUCUUGCACAAUGGGGUCACCCCUGAUGCAGCCAUGCCGCGUGGAGGAAGACACCCCUAUGGGGCGUAAACUCCUUUUCUGAACGAAGAGACCUCUGUAGGUUCAGAGCGCGACGGUAGUUCAGGAAUAAGCACCGGCUAACUCCGUGCCAGCAGCCGCGGUAAUACGGAGGGUCCAAGCGUUGUCCGGAAUCACUGGGCGUAAAGGGUGUGCAGGUGGGGCAGCAAGUCAGAGGUGAAAGCCCGCGGCUUAACCGCGGAAGUGCCUUUGAAACUGCUGCUCUUGAGUCCCGGAGAGGUUGUCGGAAUUCGUGGUGUAGCGGUGAAAUGCGUAGAUAUCACGAGGAACACCAGAAGCGAAAGCGGGCAACUGGACGGGUACUGACACUGAGGCACGAAAGCGUGGGGAGCAAACAGGAUUAGAUACCCUGGUAGUCCGCGCCGUAAACGAUGAAUGCUCGCCGUUGCCUCGUUAAGGGGCAGUGGCUAAGCCAACGCGUUAAGCAUUCCGCCUGGGGAGUACGAUCGCAAGGUUGAAACUCAAAGGAAUUGACGGGGGCCCGCACAAGCGGUGGAGCAUGUGGCUUAAUUCGAUGCAACGCGAAGAACCUUACCUAGGCUCGAACGCUAGACGACCGCUCCUCAAAGGGAGCUUUCCGCAAGGACGUCUAGCGAGGUACUGCAUGGCUGUCGUCAGCUCGUGUCGUGAGAUGUUGGGUUAAGUCCCGCAACGAGCGUAACCCCUGUUGCUAGUUACCAUCGGGUAAUGCCGGGGACUCUAGUGAGACUGCCUGCGCAAGCAGUGAGGAAGGUGGGGAUGACGUCAAGUCAUCAUGGUCCUUACGCCUAGGGCUGCACACGUGCUACAAUGGCCGGUACAACGAGCAGCCACCUCGCGAGAGGGAGCGAAUCUCUGAAAGCCGGUCCCAGUUCGGAUUGGAGCCUGCAACUCGACUCCAUGAAGCAGGAAUCGCUAGUAAUGGCGGAUCAGCAAUGCCGCCAUGAAUUCGUUCCCGGGCCUUGUACACACCGCCCGUCAAGCCAUGGAAGCUGAGAGCACCCGAAGUCCGUGACCCAACCCCUUGGGAGGGAGCGGCCGAAGGUGAGCUCAGUGACUGGGGCUAAGUCGUAACAAGGUAACCGUAA
rnacentral:rRNA from 1 species